rnacentral:rRNA from 1 species
GUGCCAGCCGCCGCGGUAACACGUAGGGCGCAAGCGUUGUCCGGAAUUAUUGGGCGUAAAGAGCGUGUAGGCGGCUUCACAGGUCCGCUGUGAAAACUCGAGGCUCAACCUCGAGCUGUCGGUGGAAACCGUGUGGCUAGAGUCCGGAAGAGGAGAGUGGAAUUCCUGGUGUAGCGGUGAAAUGCGCAGAUAUCGGGAGGAACACCAAUGGCGAAGGCGACCUUCUGGGCCGCAACUGACGCUGAGGCACGAAAGCGUGGGGAGCAAACGGGAUUAGAAACCCCCGUAGUCC